UCUGUAAGCCUGCGAAGGUGACCUGUGAGGGUUGCUGGAGGUAUCAGAAGUGCGAAUGCUGACAUAAGUAACGAUAAAGCGGGUGAAAAGCCCGCUCGCCGGAAGACCAAGGGUUCCUGUCCAACGUUAAUCGGGGCAGGGUGAGUCGACCCCUAAGGCGAGGCCGAAAGGCGUAGUCGAUGGGAAACAGGUUAAUAUUCCUGUACUUGGUGUUACUGCGAAGGGGGGACGGAGAAGGCUAUGUUAGCCGGGCGACGGUUGUCCCGGUUUAAGCAUGUAGGCUGGUU
rnacentral:rRNA from 1 species